GAUUAACGCUGGCGGCAUGCCUAACACAUGCAAGUCGAAUGUUGCCGUAAGGUAAACAUGCAGACGGCUGAGUAACACGUGGGUAUCUACCUUUGGGUCGGGUAUAACUCCGCGAAAGCGGAGAUAAUUCCCGAUAUGUCUUCGGAUGAAAGAUUUAUCGCCCGAAGAGGAGCCCGCGUCUGAUUAGCUAGUUGGUAGGGUAAUGGCCUACCAAGGCGAUGAUCGGUAAUUGGUCUGAGAGGAUGACCAGUCAGACUGGAACUGAGACACGGUCCAGACUCCUACGGGAGGCAGCAGUGAGGAAUUUUCCACAAUGGGCGAAAGCCUGAUGGAGCAAUGCCGCGUGCAGGAAGAAGGCCCUCGGGUCGUAAACUGCUUUUGUAGAGAAAGAUUAUGACGGUACUUUGCGAAUAAGAGCCUGCUAACUACGUGCCAGCAGCCGCCGUAA
rnacentral:rRNA from 1 species